AAGUCGUAACAAGGUUUCCGUAGGUGAACCUGCGGAAGGAUCAUUAACAAAUCUAGUGGGUUGGGGCUUCGGUUUCCAGCUCAUUUUUGCGCGUGUGUUGUGUGACUGGUUACUAGAAGUGGGAUUUAUAACAGAGACAACUUUUAACAAUGGAUCUCUUGGCUCUU
rnacentral:misc_RNA from 1 species